GGUCGUGUAGCUCAGUUGGCUAGAGCGCCGCAUUCACAUUGCGGAGGCCACAGGUUCGAGUCCUGUCACGACCA
rnacentral:tRNA from 1 species